rnacentral:tmRNA from 1 species
GGGGGUGUUCUGGAUUCGACCUUUGGUUGGAGUGCGCCGCUGCCCUUUAAGAGUGAAAGCCUCUUGUUAAUCCCCUUUCAAAAAAACAAACGGCAACAACGAAGAAAUGCCCCUCGCUGCCUAAGUGCAGUGACGUCCGCCUAGUGAUAUCUGCUAGCUAACGUGGACGACGACAGCAGACAUAACAUCGGGAGCCAUCCGCGGGCCUGGUGUCGUAUCUUCACCCGGGGAUUGGCUUGUGUUUAAGCGCGGUUGGUCGCGUAACACCGGCGAGAUAAAUACCAGCACAUAAGGGUAGACGCGGUGUGCGAAGGCCGAAGGGACCCGGGUUCAAAUCCCGGCACCUCCACCA